UCCACGCAGUAAACGUUGUACACUAGGUGUAGCGGGUAUUGACCCCUGCUGUGCCGGAGCUAACGCAUUAAGUGUACCGCCUGGGGAGUACGGUCGCAAGACUAAAACUCAAAGAAAUUGACGGGGGCCCGCACAAGCGGAGGAGCAUGUGGUUUAAUUCGAUGAUACGCGAGGAACCUUACCUGGGCUUAAAUGUAGAACGACCUCCCGUGAAAACGGGAUUCUCUUCGGAG
rnacentral:rRNA from 1 species